CACGUAGGGGGCAAGCGUUGUCCGGAUUUAUUGGGCGUAGAGAGCUCGUAGGUGGUUCGGUAAGUCGGGUGUUAAACCCCCAGGCUCAACCUGGGGACGCCACUCGAUACUGCUGUGACUAGAGUCCGGUAGGGGAGCGUGGAAUUCCUGGUGUAGCGGUGAAAUGCGCAGAUAUCAGGAGGAACACCAGCGGCGAAGGCGGCGCUCUGGGCCGGUACUGACGCUGAGGAGCGAAAGCGUGGGGAGCGAACAGG
rnacentral:rRNA from 1 species